rnacentral:lncRNA from 1 species
CAACACCAUGCUUCUUUCUAUACGUUACUUAGAGAGGAGGAUGAGUUAUGAGGGAAGAUUUAUCUUUGGCUGGAAAGGGAUUCACUCUUGGCAAUGAACCAGCAUCUUAGAUCAAAGAAAACUAGAUCAUGCCAAGAAAAAAAGAGUUGUGUUGCUUAAAGGGCACUGCAGCUUUAUCUUCCUUGUUUUAUUUAUUUUACCAAGAAAGAAAGAUGAAGAGAACAUGUCAGCAAUAGUCAAUCUAGGGGGAUGGAAACAUGGACACUUAUUAAAUUUUUUUCUGUACUUUUCUUUAUUUUGAAAUUUUAAAAAUUAAAAAUGUGUGGUUGGUUAAAACAGAAUUGUGAUAUAGAAUCUCUUAGAUUUGACGUGUACGCUCUGAAGGUGCAUGUGUGAGUGUGAAAAAAUGACAGAAUGAGCAAAUGAAAGCCAUAGAUAAGGACUUCAUAUAACAUUUUUUAUCAUGUUUUCUGCCACUCAAAAUGAUAGCUAACCAUUCAAUUUCCAUUUUUCCUACCUGACCCUUAUCCUUAACUUAGCGCCAUAUAAAGAAAUUGGAAUGGAGCCAGGGACAGCUCGUGGACCAUUUCCUGUAUGCUGGGCCAUGUGCAAGUCAUUGGCGCUGAGGCUGGUGGGAGGCAGCUGGCCUGGUGGGUACAGGUGGGGAUGCUGGAGGCAGCUGCCUGCCUUUGAAGCCUGGCUCAAUUCCCACCUACUGGUGUGUGUCGGGAAAGCUAAUUCGUGUUCUAUACCUCAAUUCCUCGUCUGUACAAUGUGGAGUGAGUGGGUUGUGGAAUGUCAAAGGAAGCAGAGAAGCCACUUGGAAGUUGACUGUGAUAAUCCUUCGAAAAGAUGUCAUGAAUUUGAAACAGAUCAUCAUAUGUGCUAUCAUCAUAAUGUAGCACAUCAUAAUGUUCUAACGUUGUCUGUUAUAUCUAUGCCUGUGACCUUCACGUCGGCAGAAAGUUGGUAUCCCAAGGGUAUAGCAUAGUGAUCCAUGGAUAAAACGUCUUAGGAAAUAUUUGUUGAAUGAGUUAGUAUAUUAAAGAGAAAGAAAACACUGAAAAUGACUGAAAAAUUGUUGAUGCAUCUUAAGUGUAUUUUUAUAAUAUGACUGUUUUUUAUAUAAAAUUAUCCAUUAAUUAUAAACUAAAGAUAGUUAUGAAGAGCUGUUGGUUUACUUUUCAGAGACAGAGAAUUUCAAGAAAACCUUAAAAUUUGCCUGUAAAGUGAUCACUGGAUAGCUUUAGAAAGUUCAUCUUCAGUGCUAGCCAAGUGGUGUAGCAGUUAAUUUCCCAUGCUCCACUUCGGCAGCUCGGGAUUCUCUGGUUUGGAUCCUAGGUGGGGACCAAACCCACCUGGGCUUGUCAAGCCAUGCUGUGGUAGGCGUCCCACAUAUAA